rnacentral:rRNA from 1 species
ACUCCGGUUGAUCCUGCCGGACCUGACUGCUAUCGGGAUAAGACUAAGCCAUGGAAGUCGACGCGCGCCCUUGCGCGCGUGGCGUACGGCUCAGUAACGCGUGGUUAACCUGCCCUCGCGAUGGGUAUAACCUCGGGAAACUGAGGAUAAUCCCCAAUAGGCGAUUGGAUCUGGAAGGACUUUUCGCCCAAAGGGAUGGGGCAAAUGGGCCUCAUCCGCGCGAGGAUGGGACUGCGUCCCAUCAGGCAGUUGGUGGGGUAAUGGCCCACCAAACCUAUAACGGGUA